CAUUCCUACGCCAGAUCUGCAACGCCUAAGGCUUAAACUUGGCGCGGCGGUAAAUUUAGCCCGAAGGCAGCGGCUCCUAAGGGGCGGGGAUGUCUCCUUGGAAGAAGGAAAGGGAACAGGGUAAGAAAAUGGAGUUGCCUCUAGGAAGAAGAAUCAGGCAGAGGAAACAUUCAGGGCCGCUGGCGGACCACUGACAAAAAGAAAUCGGACGCAAAAGAAACCUCCCCAGAAGAAACUGGGCCACCGUGGGAGCCGUGCGAGACAGACUUCCCAUCUGGGAAGGGCUGCCUACGGGUAAUUGGGUUUGCUCGAGUUGCCUCUAUAAUUAAUAAGUGAUUUGACUUGGAGAUUGGAAAUAGUCAUGAAAGGAAGCCGCGGGCGUAGGGGUGUGAGGCCCAGGAGCCUCCAUCCGAAAUCCAAAGACCGCGGAGGAGGACGGUUUAAGGAACAGGACGAAUGUGAUAAUAUUGGCAUCUAACCUUCUAGUGUUUGAGUAAUUCGUUGCUUAGCUACUUUGGAUAGGCCAUUAUUUUGCAAACUGGAAACAUUUGCAAGUGGUGAUAUUUUGCUCUUGCCUGACGCAGGGGCUGCAAACCUACGCCGGCUCUGCUGAACUCUUCGAAAUAUAUAUGCAUAAAUUGUUCCUAAUGAGACCAUCUGUUUUUUAUGGCCCCUCUGGAAGCAGGAGGAACCCGAAGCCUGCUCCGUCUUGCAGAAAUCUGUGGCCAGGCAGGCCUGGGAAAUAAAUAGGGGAGAUUAGAA
rnacentral:lncRNA from 10 species